GUGCGCACGUGUGCAGGGUGGGGUCGAACUUCACGAUCAGAUUCUGCUGUUAAGUGGGUUUGCCGCAUCCUGCGAGCACUCCUGCUCGUACGACUUCUCUUAUACUGCGGCAGAGCGAAGACAGGGUAUUUCAUUAGUGUGAAGGGUUCCGCAAGCUACGCUCAUGACGUCGCAGCCGAUCUCUAUUCACUACAAGCAGAUGGAGGAGUGGCUGGAGGAUCGCAAGUCCGUUUUUUCUCGAAAGCACAAGAGUGAGUACAAUGCAUUGUUGUCCGUAGCCCCUCGACUCGUGCAGAUGGCGCAGUAUGACAUCCCAGCACUCGAGAAGCAGAUCAAGAAGAACGAGAACGCUAUCGAGGACUGUCACCGGGUCUGCGAGGAGGCGCAGCGCACACAGCUCAAGCUGGUAGAGAGGCGGCGCGCCAUGCUGAGGGAGUACGGAAUCGAGCUCGCUGCCGCUGUCGGGGAAGUCGAGGUCGCCUUCGCGGUCGAUCAGCGUGUGAGGGAAGCGUGCGCGCAAGUGAACGCCGCCUUUCAAGAGUACGCUCGUGCCCGUGUGAGGGCGCUGAAGGAGUACUACAACGCUCUUUUGGCGAGAACUGCGGCUGGGUGGUACGGCACGGACCCAUUUGCUUUCCACUUUCCUUGGCUCCAGCGCGCUUUCAGUGAGGCGGAGUACCAGCCCGCGGAUGCCUUGUCUGAGGCUACCGACGCCGGUGGUGAGGCGGCCGAUGCGGCAGAACCUCAAAUUGACUGGGGCGACGAUGACGACGGCGCGGCGGGGACGUUCGCAGGGCUGGGGAAGGAUGCCGUGCAGAUCAACUGGGAUGCUACUGAAAUGGAAGCCCGCCCCGUAGAGGACGACAGUCUACCAGCGACAGAUGGGCUGCAUUUCUCAAUUGAUCUUGCUUCUGCAAAGCAUCGCGCCAAUGUAAUGUCAGAGCUGGAGGCAGCAUCGUGCUUCUGCCGCGAGCGCGGCACCGCGGACCUGCUGGAGUGCGCCACGGAGACGGAGGCGUUGCGCCGCUUUCUCUCAAGCGCCAAAGAAGGUGAGCUCGCUCGUAUGAAGGAGAGCUACCGCGCGCGGGGCAGCUUUGUGGAUCGAAUCACCCGUUUCCAGCAGCAGAUUGUGGUGGCCGAAAACCGCUCCACGACGCACCAGGCGAAGAUGCAGGAUGCCGAAGACGACCUGGCAAAGUUGAAAGUGCAGCAGGAUGAGCUGCUGUCACGUCUGAGGAGCAUGCGGGAUGAGGCGCUCACCAACCUGGAACACAUGUUCCCAGAUCGCAGGAUCCUCAUCGUUGGCGACCUGAACAAGUACUUGGCGUGAUGCACCAUUGCAGUUGCAGCGCUUUUUCAUCUCCAAUGAGAGUUUUCGUGUAUGCAUGUGUGUGGUGCGCGCAGCUCGGGCGGUAGGCGUGGUGUGUAGUCGUUGGCGCGUAGGUUUCGUUGGCGCCGCGUUCUGUUAGCGACGUGCUCUUUGGCACCGUGUGAGUUGCUCCUCUUUCUCCGGUUCUCUGAUGCGUGCAUCCUUUUUCUUCUGCCAGAUGUCGGUCGGCUGGUGUGAAGGCUCUCUAUAUAUUUCUUCUCCACGCGAUCGUAGAGUCCGCACUCUCUCCCUCUCACUCGUGGAGCGCGCGGAGGAGAGAGACUCACGAUCCGCCUCUCUUCCUCUUUGCAAGUGUGCUCGAUUUUUUUUUCCAUUUGCCGGGAUGAGUGUGUCGCGCUUCUGGUG
rnacentral:misc_RNA from 1 species